GAUGAACGCUGGCGGCGUGCCUAAUACAUGCAGGUCGAGCGAACAGACGAGGAGCUUGCUCCUCUGACGUUAGCGGCGGACGGGUGAGUAACACGUGGAUAACCUACCUAUAAGACUGGGAUAACUUCGGGAAACCGGAGCUAAUACCGGAUAAUAUAUUGAACCGCAUGGUUCAAUAGUGAAAGACGGUUUUGCUGUCACUUAUAGAUGGAUCCGCGCCGCAUUAGCUAGUUGGUAAGGUAACGGCUUACCAAGGCAACGAUGCGUAGCCGACCUGAGAGGGUGAUCGGCCACACUGGAACUGAGACACGGUCCAGACUCCUACGGGAGGCAGCAGUAGGGAAUCUUCCGCAAUGGGCGAAAGCUUGACGGAGCAACGCCGCGUGAGUGAUGAAGGUCUUCGGAUCGUAAAACUCUGUUAUUAGGGAAGAACAAAUGUGUAAGUAACUAUGCACGUCUUGACGGUACCUAAUCAGAAAGCCACGUCUAACUACGUG
rnacentral:rRNA from 1 species